rnacentral:rRNA from 1 species
UACGGAGGGGGCCAGCGUUGUUCGGAAUCAUUGGGCGUAAAGGGCGCGUAGGCGGCUUUGUAAGUCCGUUGUGAAAUCCCUCGGCUCAACCGAGGAACUGCGACGGAUACUGCUUGGCUUGAGUCCCGGAGAGGGUAGCGGAAUUCCCAGUGUAGCGGUGAAAUGUGUAGAUAUUGGGAGGAACAUCGGUGGCGAAGGCGGCUACCUGGACGGGUACUGACGCUGAUGCGCGAAAGCCAGGGGAGCAAACGGG